GCUUCGGUCUCCUCCCCGCCUUCGCUUCGGUCGUUUCGUACGGCGCGGCGUUCCCCCCCUGCGACUUUUCCCUCCUCCCCGCCUUCGCUUCGGUGGUCCAUCUCCUCCCUCGGGAACGCAGCUGUCCUGCUCACCGCACGGACGGUGAGGCGGCCCUGUACGGCCGUCGUGGGUUCUCCGGCUCGCCGUACGGACGGUGAGGUGUCCCUGUACGGGCCGUCGUGGGUUCUCCCUCCCCUGGGGACUUUUCCGCCUCCGCCUUCGCUUCGGUCUCCUCCCCGCCUUCGCUUCGGUCGUUUCGUACGGCGCGGCGUUCCCCCCCUGCGACUUUUCCCUCCUCCCCGCCUUCGCUUCGGUGGUCCAUCUCCUCCCUCGGGAACGCAGCUGUCCUGCUCACCGCACGGACGGUGAGGCGGCCCUGUACGGCCGUCGUGGGUUCUCCGGCUCGCCGUACGGACGGUGAGGUGUCCCUGUACGGGCCGUCGUGGGUUCUCCCUCCCCUGGGGACUUUUCCGCCUCCGCCUUCGCUUCGGUCUCCUCCCCGCCUUCGCUUCGGUCGUUUCGUACGGCGCGGCGUUCCCCCCCUGCGACUUUUCCCUCCUCCCCGCCUUCGCUUCGGUGGUCCAUGUCCUGCCUCGGGAACGCAGCCGUCCUGCUCACCGCACGGACGGUGAGGCGGUCCUGUACGGCCGUCGUGGGUUCUCCGGCUCGCCGUACGGACGGUGAGGUGUCCGUACGGACGGUGAGGCGGCCCUGUACGGGCCGGCGUGGGUUCCCCGAUUAGACGGCUUUCUCAUUCUUCUCUUAUGCUGCCCCUCUAUGUUGUUUCUCUGUUCUUCUUCCAGAUUUUUGGCUUCUUCUUCAACUUGGGCAGAGGUUGCAUUUUUGAGAUGGUGGAUUGGAGGAUUUAUCGGUACGAGUUUCCGAGGUGCAUAAUCUUCUAUUCUUGGAUGCUCUCAGGUUCCACUCCAUCGUGUGAGAAUUUCUCGAUUCAUUUUUUUUUUGCAUUUUCCUAUUUUUUUAUCUUGGGAAUUUUUGGCUUUUGGGAUGAUGUUUGAACAUUUUGGCAGCUUUUAUGUUGAUGAAGGCUUUUCUAACUUGCUGAGAUAGAUUUAGUGACAAAUGACAUUGUCUAAAUUUUUUUGCACCAAAACCCCGCUGCGAAUUCGCUAAUAGCUCCAACUUAAGGACCUAUUUAAAAGGAUGAUGAGGAUUGAUUCUGCGAGGCAAAUGACCUUACACCAUGUGGUUGAUGAACUACCUUGUUGUGAAAAUCCAAGACAAUUCUCAAUUGAUUUGGGUGAAUAUAUUCUUAUUAGCUCUGUGAGAUGUGUCAAUCCGACAACUCCAUCAAUGUUCAAUAACCACAGAGGCCACACCAUGCAAAAAUGUUGAAGAAUAGGGCUGUCUCCAAAUACUCCUACUUUUGUACCAUGUCUGAGUAAUUUACAUAACCAAACAUAAAGUUGGCAGAGGAAAAAAAAAAAGAAAAAAGGAAAAAAAAGAAGAAUACAUGUAGCAACCUUAUUUAGUUGGAGACUUACAUUAGUUGAAGAAUGGAAGGACAAUGACAAGAUUAUGAAAGAUUAGCAUUCCUUUUGAUUUAAAAAGGUACCUACUUGCUUUCCAUAGUUCCUGCAGCCCUUAUCUUUUCUUUUCCCUUACAUAAUGCCAUGACUUGUUCGACAAGGAUGGAUGAUGACAUAAGCUUAAUUUGGUCGAGAUUUGCAUGUGUACAUGUGCUUUUUCUGCUGGUGUACAUUUGAUGGAUGGUUUUUGCAUUGCAUGCAAGCACCUGCGUAGGUAUCUCUUUGUGGCUUCCUGCAUAUUUACAUAAUUUCGAGUGCUUUGCUUUUUCCCCCCUCAUUUGUCUUUCCUCUUUAUCUGUAUGGCUGGAGAUUCUACAAAUUAGUGGAGCACUUAAAAAAAAAAAAAAAAAUCAGACAAUAGUUGCUAGGUGGAAACAAUUGCAGAUGAAUUUAAAUAGUGAUUAAUACUGAAGAGGUUGUGGGACUAAAUGCUUCUCAUUCUUGCUGCUAUAUGCUUUGAAACCAUUUACCUGAUUAUGUACCGACUUGCAAGUACUCAAACCACAUGAGAAACCAAUCAACCAUGUGCUUAGGCUAAGUGAUAUUCAUCCUCUUUAAUAGCUAUGUAGGCCCUUAUUUUGUGCCUGUAGAUUUAUCGGUACGAGUUUCCCAGCUGCAUAAUCUUCUAUUCUUGGAUGCUCUCAGGUUCCACUCCAUCGUUUUAGCAGUUGCUCAAAACGAGGGAGUUGUUGAGCAGUUCCUCUCAAGAAAUCCUUCAGCUGGUAUGUGAAUUUACGAAAUUAGAGUGUAAUAACUGUUGCGUAUUGUCCAAUCUAUCGUAGAUCCUGUGCCACCGAGAAACAUACUGUAGAAAUCAAAGUUUAUCCAGUUAGUUAUCCUCAAUAUUGGCCUUCAAUAAUUUUUCAAAGAGUACGCUGAAAUUGACAUCAUAGAAAACGAAAAAAGGGAAACAUAUUGUGUAUUUGGAAUAUGAUCUUUAGCAUAAGAAACUGUUUAUGUUUAUCAUUGAUCAGCAAUAAGAUUUGGUCACAAAAAGAUUUCAUCAGCAGUGAGUUAAAGGAAGUCCAGACCAUACAAUCAGAGAAAAGAGAAUAAAAGCAAAACCUCAAAGGAAGUCCAGACCAUACAAUAAGAGAAAAACCUUAAGAUAGGUUGUGGAGGAUACAAUGAAAAUCAAGAGUUGGUUGCCUAGAAACCAGACCAUCCAAACCUCAUGUCUCUUUUUUUUUAUAUCAUCACAGCCUCCAAAAAAAACAAAAAAGAAAGUCGAGUGUCAUGUUUUUUUUUUUGAGGAGCUGGUGACGAUAGCGUUUCUCAAACAGUGUGGCCUUUUAUCAUGGUUGAAAAGGUUUUAGUUAAUUUGUUUGGGUUUGUAUCUAAGAUUAGCAAUAUUUGGAUGGCUUGCUUGGCAAGCAACCAUUUGCUGCUGAAAUAUUUUCGUGGUAUGUUAACAAAUGUGGGCCAAAUUUGAGCUAAAUAGUUUGAAAUUUAUAUCUAUUUAUUUUUGCGAAUUACUUUUUGGGUAGUAUUCCUCUUUUAAUGUAGUUUUUCCCUUAAAAACAAUUGUUAAAAUGAUAUUUCAGUCUUGCUUUUGAAAAAAUGCAGAAAUUUUGUUGCUCAUGUUUCUAAAUCUACUCGGUUAUUUGUUUGAGUGUCGCCUUCAUGUUUUAUUGACAUGUUGAUAGGGUUAGGCAAUAAAGAAGUCCCACUUAAUACAUCAGUUUGUGUAAUACACCAACUAUGUGCUACAUGAGUACAUCAUGUAGUACUCAAUUUGUUUUUAAAAAAGCUUUUCUAAUGCAGUAGUUAUUUUUCUAAUGCCUUAAUGGUUCAUAUCUUUUUCCCCCCUGUGGGAAUUACAAUUUGCCCUGUUUUUUUUCCUCUUUCUUGGAUGCAGUUUCUUUUGCUCGCUGAUCUUUAAUUAUAAUGUUCAAAUGGUCUCACUACUUUUCCUAAUUUAUGAGCAAAAUUUAAUGAGAAUUGAGCCUACUUUGGUUGUUUGUAAAAUUGUCGAUUCUCUGCUGAGACAUUUAUAGGUAAACAACUACAAUUUAGAUGGUCGACCAUGUGGGUAACUGUUUGUGUAUUGUUCGGAGUAGACAGCUUGCAUGGUUGAUUGUUAGACUAAUCAAAUCCUUACAGAUUUUUGCAAGUUAGUGUAUUGGCCUAUUAUUACUAAUGCUUUUGAUACUGGUGUAGUUUGUUCUGUUCUUUUUUUUGAUAUAUUUUUUGUGAUAUUUGUGAUAAUAAAAGGAACCUAGACCAUUUGUUUCUAUUCUUCUGGGUUUUAGUGCUUUUCCCUUCCUAUUAAUUUUUUUCUCGGUUCGUACAAAAGAAACACGAGUGAGCUGUUGAUAGGCAACAAUUAUACAAAAAAAAGGUAUGAUGGAUUUGGAAUUUUCGGCCAGGUGCCGGUUAGUAAUAAUAAAAAUAUGUUAUUGUUCUCUUAGGAAAAUAUAUGCGGGACAUGAUAUUUGAGAUUUCUUUUUGCGUCUGUUGCUAGCAAUUUUUGAACAAUUUUGCUCAGCGCAUGGAACUUGGAGAACUAAGCUACCAAAAAUGUUGAUCGCAAUAUUAUGAAAGUAGUGACACAAAAGAAAAGUAUAAUCUGUGGGCUCAAAUGGGCUGGGCAAUGAUGAUGUGGAAUUAAAAAAAGGGCAAGCUUGAUGGCCUUGGGGUAACACUUGCACCAUUUGAUGGACAAAAGAAAUAUGUAAUCUGUGGGCUCAAAUGGUUUGUUGGGCAAUUAUGAUGUGGAAUUAAAAAAAGAAAUAGCAACAGUUGCACCAUUCGAUGGACAAAAGAAAUAUGUAAUCUGUGGGCUCAAAUGGUUUGUUGGGCAAUUAUGAUGUGGAAUUGAAAAAAGGUCAAGCUUGAUGGCCUUGGGGCAACACUUGCACCAAUUGUUGGCACUAAAAAAGUCCAUUGGAUAUCUGACAAAUUGGAUGAAAGUAUUCUUGCUAUCUGAGCUCAUUCAGUUUUUUUAGAACUAUUUGAAUCCACUGAUUAUCUAUUUCUUUUUUGUCACUACUUUAAUAAUGCUUUUUCUUUAUAUUUCUUUCAGUGAUAUUUUUAUUAAUUUCAUUCUUUAAUUCUUUGUCUUUAUUGAAUGCUUCUUAUGCACUAACUCGUCUUACUUGCUGAGCUUUAAUUCGAUUAGUUUGGCUUAUAAUUAAUAGUUGGUGAACAAUUUGGCUCAGAGAAUGGAACUAGAAGAACAAUAACUAAGAAAAAAUGUUGAUUGCAAUAUUAUGAAAGUACUAAGCUUGCUUAUAAGCUGAGAAAAUUUAUGGGACUGUUUAGUUAUUUAGGUUAAAUUUCGGUAAGAAAGAAAACUCCAGUUUAACAGGUUUGAAAAUAUUAUUUAACUAUUCUAACUGAAGUUCAGUGGACAAGACAAAUAUAACUCGAGAGUUUGCUAAUUAUCGAUUCUGCUGAAUCUCUUUAUUAUUUUCUGCCCAUUUUGUUAAUCUAUUUUCCCUAGGAAUUGUGCGCAUUGCUAGAUUUUAGGGAUGAGCUUUGGGAAUUUGGGCAACGUUUUCAUAGAGCCAGUGGUUUACUGCAUAACACCUGUGCAUCAAAUCCUCAUUGCGCACGUCAACUUUGAUUCAUAGUAUCUCUUUAUUGUGUUGUUCUUCGCUUAUUCUUGGUUUUUUCUCUUUUACUGCAAAAAGUUUGCAUCAAUCUAAUUGUCCGAAACUUUUUUGCUUUCUUCGGGUUUUGCUGCUUUAACUUUUCAUGUCUAUUUUUCUGUCUCCUUUAGUGUCAAAAAAUGGGACAACCUAAGUCUCGAAUUUUUUUUCUAUUAGCCAUUAAUUGUUAGCUAUUUUUCCGCUAUUCUUUUUCCUUUUGCUGUCUCUUUUUGUUUCUGCUAUUUUUAGCUGGUAAUUCUUACAUUAUUUUUUCGUCACAAAGUUUUAGUUUCUAUAUUUCCCUCCUAAAUAUAAAAAAAUUUAUGCCUUCUUAUCUUUUAUGUAACUGUAUUAUAUCUAUCUCUCUAUUGGUUAGUCCUUUUUUUUUUCCUCCUUGAGUGACAAAAAGUUAUGCCGACCUAAGCCUCCGUUUUUUUUUUGCAUACGCUGGUAGCAUACACUAAUUUGUUGUGUUUUUUAUGCAUUUUUUUUUGGUCAAUAUAAAGAAUAUAUAAUUUACCUGUUUUGCACAAAAAAAAUGCACAUGUGUUUGAAAAUUGUUUGGUUCAUUUGUGUUUGCCUGAUUCCAUUUUCUUACUUUCAUUUUGCUUUCAGAAUUUUAAGUGACUAUUAUUCCGUUGAGGUGUGGCGCAUUCUGGAUGUUGACAGUUGCUUCUUGACUAUUGCAUCGUCUAUUGACCAAACCUUUUCCGUGUUGAAUUUGAUAAAUUACAAUUCUGAAAAUAAAGGUCGAGCCUUUUUUUUUCCCUUUUUGUUGGUUUGUCGGUUUGUUUGGCUUUUCCAGCAUUUUUUACCUUAAACCAUUGCCUGUUUACUAUGGGCAUUUUUGUUGUUGAGCCUUUAUAUCCAUUUUCUUAAAAAAUAUGUGAAUAUUUUUCCCUUUUUUGGUUUGGUCGUGCAGCAAUAUAUUUCUUCGGCUUCUUAUCUGUUCUUGGUUUUUCUUACAUGGAAAAAACUUUGUUUGAUAAUUUGGUAUAAAGUGGUGAUGGAAUGGGUUGGUUUAUAAUUAUCGGGCUAAGAAGGCAUGGCAAUUAGACUGUCCUAUUGACAAUCGUCGCAGCCUUUGGAGAGCAGUAAUAGUUGGAUGAUUGUUCUACUGUGAAAGGCAAAGACAUUUCAUAGGUUAAUUAGUGUUUUAUGUUUUUCUCCCUUGAGAUUUUAUUCGUCCCUCUUGAAAAAACUUUGUUUGAUAGUUUGGUAUAAAGUGGUGGUGGAAUGGGUUGGUUUAUAAUUAUCGGGCUAAGAAGGCAUGGCGAUUAGACUAUCCUAUUGACAAUCGUCGCAGCCUUUGGAGAGCAUUAAUAGUUGGAUAAUUGUUCUACUGUGAAAGGCUAAGACAUUUCAUAGGUUAAUUAGUGUUUUAUGUUUUUCUCUCUUGAGAUUUUA